AGUCUCCACUGCCUCCUGAAGAAGAGGCAAAAGAUGAGGAGGAGGAUCAAACUCUUGUGAACCUGGACACGUGUAUGUAUAAGGCAGACAGACUGUGGUUUUUAACUAAUCUCCUAAAAGUGAUUUUGGAGAUUAAAACUUCAUAGCCUAUAAAUUCUAUGAGACUUUGUAUCCACUACAACAACUGGUAUACUUAUGCUCUGUUGGCGGCUUACAAGUAUUGGACAUUGGAGUAAACUGAUUGCUUCUUUCUUUACAGAUACCUCGGAUCUGCAUUUUCAAGUGAGCAAAGACCGCUAUGGAGGGCAGCCACUUUUCUCAGAGAAGUUCCCCACCCUUUGGUCUGGGGCAAGGAGUACUUACGGAGUGACAAAGGGAAAAGUCUGCUUUGAGGCAAAGGUAACCCAGAAUCUCCCAAUGAAAGAAGGCUGCACAGAGG
rnacentral:lncRNA from 1 species